rnacentral:rRNA from 1 species
GGAGCAUGUGGCUUAAUUUGACUCAACGCGGAUUUCUUACCGGGUCCGGACACACUGAGGAUUGACAGACAUUUAUAUGCGCAAGUAUAUAUUUAAAGAUGCUAGUUCUUUCAUGAUUAUGUGAUAGGUGGUGCAUGGCCGUUCUUAGUUCGUGGAGUGAUCUGUCUGCUUAAUUGCGUUUCAUAUUAUUAUUAAUAUUCCAUAUAUUUAUUAUAUGCGUCUAUUAUACUUUGAAAGCAACGAACGUGACCGUAGCCUUUUAUUAUAUACGCUACACGUAUAUUAAUUAAAGGGACCGCUGUAUCUUUCUUUAAACCAGAGUAAGGUUACGGCAAUAACAGGUCUGUGAUGCCCUUCGAUGUUCCGGGCUGCACACGUGCUACAAUGAUUAUUUCAUUAAGUAUCUACUGUGCAAUAAUAUAUUAUUAUUAUUCCAAAACCUACUCUGAGAAUGAGCGGGUAAUCAAUUAGAAGUAAUGAUUUCCAAAUUUAUACACUCAUGUACCGUAUAUAUUAUCCCAUAUUUUAAUUAAUAUGCGUGUAUAAUAUCGUACGCUGUACGUAUAUUUAUUAAUUCAUGGUGGGGAUAGACUAUUGUUAAUUGUUGGUCUCGGUCUUAACUAGGAAUGCCUUGUACGGGUCAUUGGUUCAACAGACCACCCGGAAUACGUCCCUGCCCUUUGUACACACCGCCCGUCGCUCUUACCGAUGAACUUCGCUAUGAAUCUAUUGGACUGUACCAUUGUGGUAUGGAAAGAUAUAUGAAUAGUGUGGUUUAAAGGAAAGAGAAGUCGUAACAAGGCA